rnacentral:tRNA from 1 species
GGCCGCCUGGCGAAAUGGCAUCGCGUCUGACUACGAUGUUGUGUAAUCAGGAGAUUGCAGGUUCGACCCCUGCGGUGGUCA